rnacentral:rRNA from 1 species
GAUGAACGCUAGCGGGAGGCUUAACACAUGCAAGUCGAGGGGAAACAAAAGUAGCUUGCUACUAGAUGUCGACCGGCGCACGGGUGCGUAACGCGUAUACAAUCUGCCUUAUACUGGAGAAUAGCCCAGAGAAAUUUGGAUUAAUGCUCCAUAGUCUUUCUCUCUCGCAUGGGAGAGUUUGUAAAGCUUCGGCGGUAUAAGAUGAGUAUGCGUUCUAUUAGCUAGUUGGUGAGGUAACUGCUCACCAAGGCUACGAUAGAUAGGGGUUCUGAGAGGAUGAUCCCCCACACUGGUACUGAGACACGGACCAGACUCCUACGGGAGGCAGCAGUGAGGAAUAUUGGUCAAUGGACGAAAGUCUGAACCAGCCAUCCCGCGUGAAGGAUGACGGCGCUAUGCGUUGUAAACUUCUUUUAUAUACCAAGAAAAGUAGUCACGUGUGAUUAUCUGACGGUAGUAUAUGAAUAAGGACCGGCUAACUCCG